rnacentral:SRP_RNA from 1 species
ACUCGGGUAAGUCUUGUACGACCAGCUCCCUCUGAAUCUCCCCAGGGCGGGAACGCAGCAAGGUAAGGAGGUUGUAGCGGUGCGAUAUAAGUAGCUUACCCU